rnacentral:rRNA from 1 species
UACGAGGGGGGCAAGUGUUGUUCGGAUUUACUGGGCGUAAAGGGCGCGUAGGCGGCAGAUCAAGUCCGCUGUGAAAUCUCCGAGCUUAACUCGGAACUGUCAGCUGAUACUGUUUUGCUAGAGUGCGGAAGGGGCAAUCGGAAUUCUUGGUGUAGCGGUGAAAUGCGUAGAUAUCAAGAGGAACACCUGAGGUGAAGACGGGUUGCUGGGCCGACACUGACGCUGAGUGCGCGAAAGCCAGGGGAGCAAACGGG